AUUGAACGCUGGCGGCAUGCUUUACACAUGCAAGUCGAACGGUAACAGGCCUUCGGGUGCUGACGAGUGGCGAACGGGUGAGUAAUGCAUCGGACCGUACCCAGAGGUGGGGGAUAACGCAGCGAAAGCUGUGCUAAUACCGCGUGUGAUCUGAGGAUGAAAGCGGGGGACCGAGCAGCAAUGUUUGGCCUCGCGCCUUUGGAGCGGCCGAUGUCGGAUUAGCUAGUUGGUGGGGUAAAGGCCUACCAAGGCGACGAGCCGUAGCUGGUCUGAGAGGACGACCAGCCACAAUGGGACUGAGACACGGCACAGACUCAUACGGGAGGCAGCAGUGGGGAAUUUUGGACAAUGGGAGCAAGCCUGAUCCAGCAAUGCCGCGUGCGGGAAGAAGGCCUUCGGGUUUGAAACCGCUUUUGGCAGGAACGAAACGGUGUCCGCUAAUACCGGGCGCUAAUGACGGUACCUUCAGAAUAAGCACCGGAUAACUACGUG
rnacentral:rRNA from 1 species